UUCCCAUCUAUGAAGAGCUGAAAGG
rnacentral:piRNA from 1 species